UACACUUAUGAUACUAGCACCGACAUAUACACACACACACUAAAUUCUCUCUACACUAAACACCCACGUACAACAGCUUCUGCUCCCCUCCAGACCACCGCCAUCUUCUGCUCCUCCGGUGGCGCCAUGGCCGCCGGCAAUCGGCCCUCCCUUCCUUGCUCGCAGCUUCUCCUUCUCCAUCCUCCAACCUCCAUUUAUAGAUUUUAAGGAUGAAGCUUUGUUUCCCCAAACUCAAGUUUCUUGUGAAUUAAGUGCUAGGAAUGGCGCAUCCAAGGCUCGAGGAUGGACAACCUAAACCAAGCUUGAGGAGGUUAUUUUGAAUUUCAGCUUUCGAGGUUAAGGAGUCGGUGACGGGGCAGCGGUCAACGUGGUCCACGGUAUCCCAGCCCAAUAUUUGACAAUAUAUGAAUAGUUUUGACAUUAUUUAUAUUUUAAAAUCAUGUGAGCAGUAAUGGUGAUUAUGCGUGGGUUGUGGUUCUAGCAUCCGAUAAAAUUGUGAUGUGAUUCUGACAUGGAAGGUAUUUUUUUUAUUUUCGGUCA